CCGCUGAAAGCAUCUAAGUGGGAAGCCCACCUCAAGAUGAGUAUUGCCAUGGCUUAAGCCAGUAAGGUCACGGGAAGAACACCCGUUGAUAGGCUCUACGUGGAAGCUUGGUAACAAGUGCAGCGGAGGAGUACUAAUAGACCGAGGGCUUGACCAA
rnacentral:rRNA from 1 species